rnacentral:rRNA from 1 species
UGGGGAAUUUUGGACAAUGGGCGCAAGCCUGAUCCAGCCAUGCCGCGUGCAGGAUGAAGGCCCUCGGGUUGUAAACUGCUUUUGUACGGAACGAAAAGCCUCUUUCUAAUAAAGAGGGGUGAUGACGGUACCGUAAGAAUAAGCACCGGCUAACUACGUGCCAGCAGCCGCGGUAAUACGUAGGGUGCGAGCGUUAAUCGGAAUUACUGGGCGUAAAGCGUGCGCAGGCGGUCUUGCAAGACAGUGGUGAAAUCCCCGGGCUCAACCUGGGAACUGCCAUUGUGACUGCAAGGCUGGAGUACGGCAGAGNGGGAUGGAAUUCCGCGUGUAGCAGUGAAAUGCGUAGAUAUGCGGAGGAACACCGAUGGCGAAGGCAGUCCCCUGGGCCUGUACUGACGCUCAUGCACGAAAGCGUGGGGAGCAAACA